GACAGAGGGUGCAAACGUUGUUCGGAAUUACUGGGCGUAAAGCGUGUGUAGGCGGCCUCGUAAGUCGGAUGUGAAAGCCCCAGGCUUAACCUGGGAAGUGCACUCGAAACUGCGAGGCUUGAGUAUCGGAGAGGUUGGUGGCAUUCUCGGUGUAGAGGUGAAAUUCGUAGAUAUCGAGAGGAACACCGGUGGCGAAGGCGGCCAACUGGACGAAUACUGACGCUGAGACACGAAAGCGUGGGGAGCAAACAGG
rnacentral:rRNA from 1 species